GUAGUCCACGCCGUAAACGAUGGGCACUAGGUGCUUUGGGGAGCGACCCUCAGGGUACCGGCGCUAACGCAUGAAGUGCCCCGCCUGGGGAGUACGGCCGCAAGGCUGAAACUCAAAGGAAUUGACGGGGGCCCGCACAAGCGGUGGAGCAUGUGGUUUAAUUCGACGCAACGCGCAGAACCUUACCUAGGCUUGACAUGCACGGGACAGCCCUUGGAAACAGGGGCCUCUCUUCGGAGCCCGUGCACAGGUGCUGCAUGGCUGUCGUCAGCUCGUGUCGUGAGAUGUUGGGUUAAGUCCCGCAACGAGCGCAACCCCCGCCCCGUGUUGCUAACAGGCCGCAAGGCGCUGAGGACUCGCGGGGGACUGCCGGUGCCAAACCGGA
rnacentral:rRNA from 1 species